GCGUGUCUGCCUCAGCAGAGCUCUGGGGUGUCUGCACCAUGGCCUGGACCCCAUUCCUCCUCCUCACCCUCCUCCUUCACUGCACAGGGUCCCUCUCCCAGCUUGCACUGACUCAGCUGCCCUCUGCAUCAGCCUCCCUGGGAGCUUCGGUCAAGCUCACCUGCACCCUGGACAGUGGGCACAGCAGCUAUGACAUCGCAUGGCACCAGAAGCAGCCACAGAAGGCCCCUCGGUACUUGACGUAUCUUAGCAGUGCUGGAACCAGCAGCAAGGGGGACGGGAUCCCUGACCGCUUCUCAGGCUCCAGCUCUGGGGCUGACCGCUACUUGACCAUCUCCAACCUCCAGUCUGAGGAUGAGGCUGAUUAUUACUGUGGAAGUGGUGACAGCAGUGGUUUACACAGUGACACAGGCAGAUAAGGAAGUGGGACAAAAACCUCCGCCUGCUCGGGGUCUUGUUCUAUGUUAAUUUUUAAAUUGUAAAAUCUGUUCCAUGUACUCAAACUGUACUUGAAAGCAACUCUGGUUUAAAAUACUUUUUCUCUCAAUUUCACAUUCACGGUUCCUGAAGUCUGAGGAAAACUAAAACAGAAACAAAAACAAAUCUGGUGACUGUGUCUGUGGA